AUUGAACGCUGGCGGCAGGCCUAACACAUGCAAGUCGAGCGGUAGAGAGAAGCUUGCUUCUCUUGAGAGCGGCGGACGGGUGAGUAAUACCUAGGAAUCUGCCUGAUAGUGGGGGAUAACGUUCGGAAACGGACGCUAAUACCGCAUACGUCCUACGGGAGAAAGCAGGGGACCUUCGGGCCUUGCGCUAUAAGAUGAGCCUAGGUCGGAUUAGCUAGUUGGUGAGGUAAUGGCUCACCAAGGCUACGAUCCGUAACUGGUCUGAGAGGAUGAUCAGUCACACUGGAACUGAGACACGGUCCAGACUCCUACGGGAGGCAGCAGUGGGGAAUAUUGGACAAUGGGCGAAAGCCUGAUCCAGCCAUGCCGCGUGUGUGAAGAAGGUCUUCGGAUUGUAAAGCACUUUAAGUUGGGAGGAAGGGCAUUAACCUAAUACGUUAGUGUCUUGACGUUACCGACAGAAUAAGCACCGGCUAACUCUGUGCCAGCAGCCGCGGUAA
rnacentral:rRNA from 1 species